GACGAACGCUGGCGGCGUGCUUAACACAUGCAAGUCGAACGGAAAGGCCCUGCUUUUGUGGGGUGCUCGAGUGGCGAACGGGUGAGUAACACGUGAGUAACCUGCCCUUGACUUUGGGAUAACUUCAGGAAACUGGGGCUAAUACCGGAUAGGAGCUCCUGCUGCAUGGUGGGGGUUGGAAAGUUUCGGCGGUGGGGGAUGGACUCGCGGCUUAUCAGCUUGUUGGUGGGGUGGUGGCUUACCAAGGCUUUGACGGGUAGCCGGCCUGAGAGGGUGACCGGCCACAUUGGGACUGAGAUACGGCCCAGACUCCUACGGGAGGCAGCAGUGGGGAAUAUUGCACAAUGGGCGGAAGCCUGAUGCAGCAACGCCGCGUGCGGGAUGACGGCCUUCGGGUUGUAAACCGCUUUCGCCUGUGACGAAGCGUGAGUGACGGUAAUGGGUAAAGAAGCACCGGCUAACUACGUG
rnacentral:rRNA from 1 species